AAUAAAGAAAAAAGGAUUUACUGGACUGUAAGAUGAGCUAUAAAGGAAGUUUGUAUAAAACAGGAAUUAGGAAAAUAAAACAUGCUGCCCAUCCAGGGUAAUAUGUAGAAAAAAGUAUUUGAAUUGAUCUUAUUUUUUCUCUCACAAUUUAGUCUUACGAAGGUCAUUUCUUAUAACAAUAUUUACCACAAUUCUUGAUUAUUUCAGGAGAGUGUUAAUCCACAUAUUUCAUAUAUUCUAAUAGUAAAAAUUAUUACAUUUAUAAUACGUAACAUGUAUGUUCUUAUUACUUUACAUGGCUUGAUGGACUUUCAUCUAAAUUAAUUCAUUGGUUAAUAAAGACUCUUUUGUCAGAACACAUUCUCGUUUUGGGGGUUCAAAAUGUGGACGCUCAUUCUGUGAUCCUCUCCAGGCUCGAAUUAGUAUUACAGUUGAGGCACGUUGUCGUCCCGAGGAGGCCCCUCCAUUUCCUUCUCACAGGAUCUUUGACAUUCUUUACUACAUCCAGAAUUAUUAGAAAACAUCCCUCAGGUUAUGGAAUAAUGACCUUUCUUUUUUCCUUUCACUUCACCCCUUUCCACCCCGGUUCUCAGCCAGGUUUAAGCCGGCGAAUGGGGCUUCCUGUCACAGAACGCUGUUUAAAAACUCAGUAGCAUCUGGGCGUGAGCAGGCUUUGUUGAGUGAAGUUGAUUGGUUGCAGGAGCAGCAACAGUUCCAGGACCAAGUCAUGACACCCACCUCCUCAAGGUUUAGUUAAAUAUAUCUUGUGGUGAAAAUGUCCGGAGCAAGAAGGCAAAGCAUCAUAAAGAGGAUAUUGGGAGCUCUGCUGGGGCUCUUGAGUGCCCAGGUUUGCUGUGUGAGAGGAAUACAAGUGGAGCAGAGUCCUCCAGACCUGAUUCUCCAGGAGGGAGCCAAUUCCCACGCUGCGUGCAAUUUUCUGCCACUGUGAACAAUUUGCAGUGGUUCCACCAAAACCUUGGGGACAGCUCAUCAACCUGUUUUACAUCUCCUCAGGGACAAAACAGAAUGGAAGAUUUAAGCGCCACGACUGUCACUACGGAACGCUACAGCUUAUUGCACAUUUCCUCUUCCCAGACCACAGACUCAGGCAUUUAUUUCUGUGCUGUGGAGUCACAGUGCUCCCCAGGCACCUGCAGCCUGUACACAAACCCUCAGCUGGGCUCAGUUCUUCUACCAGAAACAACCACAUCAUGAGGCCACCACAGCAGCAUUUGCACAGCUUAAUAUUCCUUUUGUACAUAGGUAGAGUUUUAACCACAGAUUCUUUUUGGCUCUACAGGUUUGAGACUUUGGUCUUUAUUUUCCCUUUUCAAUACACACCUCCUCCUACCCUGUAAAUAUCGAGCUUGGAAGGAGUAGAGUAGCUGAUGAGAGGACAGAAUCAAAAUAAAUAUUUAAGUGACAGUAUGCAGGACUCCAAAAGGGUAAAAAGUAAAAAGAAUAACAAGAAAAGAAACACCAUUCCAAUAAGCAUGUUGUUAGAUGUAUUAGACCACGAUCCAGCUUAGUUGCGUGUCUCAAGCACAUACAAGUCUCCCUCACUACAUUAUGUUCCAGCAGACAAGGGCAAAUAUUUGCAUCCUAUCCCACUAGUGCAGCAAAGUAAAACUUCUUUGAAUAUUAACAUAU